UGACAGCAGUAUUCCUUGUUUUGUUCCCUGAACAUUAAAUGUCUUCCACAUGUACUUUAUACUAAUUUUGCAUUGUCACUUUGAAUUACCAAAAACUUAAGAUAAACAAUUCUUUAAGCUGAGCCAUUUUUACAUUUUUUUAAAAUUGUUUUGAAUUCGUGCUUUAAUUGAUGUAUUUUUGUCCUCUUUUUUCUCCAUUUCCUCUUACUUCCUAAGAUAUGUUGCUACUCUAACAUAUCUGCCUGCCUGCUGUUAUAGCAGGGAACAAUAGCAGAAGGAAGCUCAGCAGCAGUAACGGAAUAACUGAUGCCUGGUCAAGCUCAUUAACAGAUAUCAUAUCUAGGAAUGGAGAAAUGAGGCCCGCUGUGUUACCCACCAUACCUGAUGAAGACGUAAGCUUGAGAUCUUUGCAUAGUAAGUGGAAGAAGAGAGUACUCCAGCAGGUGUGACCACCGUUUUUUCAAAGUGGAGUUUGCGCAUACCUCCCCAGCCUGGACCUAUCAUGGGGUCCCAUCAUGUGCUGCAGAUGAGCCUGGUUUGUCUCAUGUUCUGGCUACAUCUUUGAGUAGAGGAAUCCUGACUGGCUUUGUAAGAUCUGGCCUUCUGUCCAGUGACCGAGAACCUCAGCGCAACUGCACAGCUGGAAGGCCGGUUACUCACCUACUCCUGCCUCUGGGAGGAGUCUGCUCCACCUACCAGCUGCCAGAGCAAAGAUCAAUGAACAUCUGCCUGUUCACCAUGAAAGGAAAGGAAGCUCUCCUGAAGAAGCAGCUUUCAUCCAAAAGGGCAUUCACCUUUUGAUGAUGAGGGAAGGCCUGUCUAUGAAGUAAUCAUCAUUGCCUGAGCUUUUAACCCAGAAAUCCUUGAAAUGAUACUGGUAGUGUUCACAGGUGAAAUAAAAGGAAAAAAAAAAAUCUUAAGAGAAACUAU
rnacentral:lncRNA from 14 species